rnacentral:rRNA from 1 species
UACGUAGGGGGCAAGCGUUGUCCGGAAUUAUUGGGCGUAAAGCGCGCGCAGGCGGUCAUUUAAGACUGGUGUUUAAUCCCGGGGCUCAACCCCGGAUCGCACUGGAAACUGGAUGACUUGAGUGCAGAAGAGGAGAGUGGAAUUCCACGUGUAGCGGUGAAAUGCGUAGAGAUGUGGAGGAACACCAGUGGCGAAGGCGACUCUCUGGGCUGUAACUGACGCUGAGGCGCGAAAGCGUGGGGAGCAAAUAGG